AACCUAGCACACCUGCGGUGUGUACCUGCGGAAGGAUCAUUACCGAGUUUACAAACUCCCAACCCUUUGUGAACCUUACCAUAUUGUUGCUUCGGCGGGACCGCCCCGGCGCCUUCGGGCCCGGAACCAGGCGCCCGCCGGAGGCCCCAAACUCUUAUGUCUUUAGUGGUUUUCUCCUCUGAGUGACACAUAAACAAAUAAAUAAAAACUUUCAACAACGGAUCUCAGAUCGGAAGAGCA
rnacentral:misc_RNA from 1 species